rnacentral:rRNA from 1 species
UCCCUACGGGAGGCAGCAGUGAGGAAUAUUGGUCAAUGGACGAGAGUCUGAACCAGCCAAGUAGCGUGAAGGAUGACUGCCCUAUGGGUUGUAAACUUCUUUUAUAUGGGAAUAAAACGUUCCACGUGUGGGAUUUUGUAUGUACCAUAUGAAUAAGGAUCGGCUAACUCCGUGCCAGCAGCCGCGGUAAUACGGAGGAUCCGGGCGUUAUCCGGAUUUAUUGGGUUUAAAGGGAGCGUAGGCGGGCCGUUAAGUCAGUUGUGAAAGUUCGGGGCUCAACCCCGGAAUUGCAGUUGAAACUGCCG